rnacentral:lncRNA from 1 species
CUCUAAUAUUGUCAAUGAUCUUGUCAUUUCUUCUAACUGCAUACUUCAAAUGACUUCUAUACUUCCUGGCAUUCACUGGGGUCUUUACUGUGCACUCCUCAAUUGCUGCCAGGGGUCACUUAAGCUGUACAGUUAUAGUGGUUCUCUGCUGCUGUUAUCAUACUGGAUGGGUUCUUCUGAUACUGUAUCGUGCUCUUCUUCGGGAUUGCUGGUUUAUUCAAUGGGCCAUCCUCCUUUGUAUACAAUUGU